rnacentral:rRNA from 1 species
AGAGUUUGAUCAUGGCUCAGAUUGAACGCUGGCGGCAUGGCUAAAACAUGCAAGUCGAACGAACCCGCAAGGGUGAGUGGCGAAAGGGUUAGUAAUACGAUCGAACGUGCCCUGAGGUGGGGGAUAGCGUUGGGAAACUGACGGUAAUACCCCAUGAUCUCGGAAGAGCAAAGGUUUACCGCCUUGGGAUCGGCGAUCGUCCUAUCAGGUAGUUGGCGGGGUAAUGGCCCACCAAGCCUUAGACGGGUAGCGGGUGUGAGAGCACGACCCGCAACAUCGGGACUGAGACACUGCCCGGACUCCUACGGGAGGCUGCAGUAACGAAUCUUCCGCAAUGGGCGAAAGCCUGACGGAGCAAUGCCGCGUGUGGGAUGAAGCGUCUCUGACGUGUAAACCACUGUCAGGGGGUAGAAAUAAUGAUCGCCCCCAAAGGAAGUGGCGACUAACUCUGUGCCAGCAGUCGCGGUAAUACAGAGGCCACAAGCGUUAAUCGGAAUCACUGGGCUUAAAGGGUGCGUAGGCUGACCCGCAAGCGUUCUGUGAAAGCCCCCGGCUCAACCGGGGAACAGCAGAGCGAACUGCGGGUCUUGAGGGAGGUAGGGGCUGCCGGAACAGUAGGUGGAGCGGUGAAAUGCGUAGAGAUCUACUGGAACGCCGAUGGUGAAGACGGGCAGCUGGGCCUUUCCUGACGCUGAGGCACGAAAGCGUGGGGAGCAAACAGGAUUAGAUACCCUGGUAGUCCACGCCGUAAACGAUGCGCGCUAGAUCGGUGCGGGUUUGACCCCGUAUCGGUCGACGCGAAAGCGAUAAGCGCGCCGCCUGGGGAGUACGGUCGCAAGGCUAAAACUCAAAUGAAUUGACGGGGGCUUAUCGUGACUGGGAAAC